AUUAGCUAGUUGGCGGGGUAACGGCCCACCAAGGCAACGAUCAGUAGCUGGUCUGAGAGGAUGAUCAGCCACAUUGGGACUGAGAUACGGCCCAGACUCCUACGGGAGGCAGCAGUGAGGAAUAUUGCUCAAUGGGGGAAACCCUGAAGCAGCAACGCCGCGUGAGGGAUGAAGGCGCUUUGCGUUGUAAACCUCUGUAGUUGGAGACAAAACUCUUCCUAUCGGAGGAUUGAUGGUAUCCAAAAAGUAAGGAUCGGCUAACUACGUGCCAGCAGCCGCGGUAAUACGUAGGAUCCUAGCGUUGUCCGGAUUUACUGGGUGUAAAGGGUGCGCAGGCGGACUUGUAAGUCAGGGGUGAAAUCUCGCCGCUUAACGGCGAAGCUGCCUUUGAUACUAUAAGUCUUGAGUUUGGUAGAGAUCCGUGGAAUUCCGAGUGUAGUAGUGAAAUGUGUAGAUAUUCGGAAGAACACCAGUGGCGAAGGCAGCGGAUUGGGCCAAUACUGACGCUCAGGCACGAAAGCAUGGGGAUCAAACAGGAUUAGAUACCCUGGUAGUCCAUGCCCUAAACGAUGUACACUUGAUGUCGGCUUUUUAACGGGUCGAUGUCGGAGCUAACGUGUUAAGUGUACCACCUGGGGAGUACGCUCGCAAGGGUGAAACUCAAAGGAAUUGACGGGGGCCCGCACAAGCAGUGGAGCGUGUGGUUUAAUUCGAUGCAACGCGAAGAACCUUACCUAGGCUUGAAAGGCUCUCUAAACCGUUGAAAGACGGGUACCCGCAAGGGGGGGAGUACAGGUGCUGCAUGGCUGUCGUCAGCUCGUGCCGUGAGGUGUUUGGUUAAGUCCAGCAACGAGCGCAACCCUUGGAUUCAGUUGCCAGCACAUAAUGGUGGGAACUCUGGAUCAACUGCCUACGCAAGUAGUGAGGAAGGUGGGGACGACGUCAAGUC
rnacentral:rRNA from 2 species